UACGGGGGGGGCAAGCGUUGUUCGGAAUUAUUGGGCGUAAAGAGCUCAUAGGCGGUUUGUUGCGUCGGCUGUGAAAUCCCGAGGCUCAACCUCGGGUCUGCAGUCGAUACGAGCAAACUAGAGUGUUGCAGGGGAGACUGGAAUUCCUGGUGUAGCGGUGAAAUGCGCAGAUAUCAGGAGGAACACCAAUGGCGAAGGCAGCUCGCUGGGACGGUACUGACGCUGAGACGCGAAAGCGUGGGGAGCAAACAGG
rnacentral:rRNA from 1 species